UUGGUAAAAGUAUGCUGAAAGUAAACUUACGUGAUAACCCAGCUUCUCACAAUAGGAGUGGAAGUGUGACCAGGUUGAUUUGCCAGAAUAUGCUGACACAGACAGAAAGAAGAAGAUAAGACCUACAUCUCUUGGAGGAAACAAUUAGUGAUUUGGCCUCUAUGCUAAUCUGAAUCAGGUGAAGAAUUCAACAGAAUUUGUGAUGAACUUGUUCCACGGAGAGGGAAAGAAGGUAAGAGAUGGCUGAAC